rnacentral:tRNA from 1 species
GGAGGGAUGGCUCAGUGGUUAAGAGCACUGGCUGCUCUUCCAGAGGUCCUGAGUUCAAAUCCCAGCAACUACA